GGGCUCUUGCUAGGCCUGCGGAGGAGAGCAGGUGCAUUUUCAAGAGAGGAGAUACCCAUAAACAAUUCAGGAAAAAGGUCUUCUCUGGAUACAACUACAUACCCUGAUAUAUCAGCAAGGACUCUCCAGUCUGCUCAUAGGAAGUUGUGUGACUCCAAAGCCUGGACCUCACAGUUCAUUCAUCAAUCUCUGCCAUACUUGUGGACUUUCAUCCCACUAUGAUAUUCAUGUCAUAGUAUUCGGCAAUGCUCAAGAGUAUCCCAAGAAAUAACUGUGUUUUUAUUCUGUGUA
rnacentral:lncRNA from 1 species